rnacentral:rRNA from 1 species
GAUGAACGCUGGCGGCGUGCUUAACACAUGCAAGUCGAACGGAGUUUUAUCAAUUGAUUGAUUAAGCUUGCUUUGAGAGAUUUUGAUAAAACUUAGUGGCGGACGGGUGAGUAACGCGUGGGUAACCUGCCGUAUACAGGGGGACAACAGUUGGAAACGACUGCUAAUACCGCAUAAGCGCACGGUACCGCAUGGUACAGUGUGAAAAACUCCGGUGGUAUACGAUGGACCCGCGUCUGAUUAGCUAGUUGGUGAGGUAACGGGCCCACCAAGGCGACGAUCAGUAGCCGGCCUGAGAGGGUGGACGGCCACAUUGGGACUGAGACACGGCCCAAACUCCUACGGGAGGCAGCAGUGGGGAAUAUUGCACAAUGGGGGAAACCCUGAUGCAGCGACGCCGCGUGAGUGAAGAAGUAUUUCGGUAUGUAAAGCUCUAUCAGCAGGGAAGAAAAUGACGGUACCUGACUAAGAAGCCCCGGCUAACUACGUG